AGAGUUUGAUCCUGGCUCAGGAUGAACGCUGGCGGCGUGCUUAACACAUGCAAGUCGAACGAAGCACUUUAUUUGAUUUCCUUCGGGACUGAUUAUUUUGUGACUGAGUGGCGGACGGGUGAGUAACGCGUGGGUAACCUGCCUUGUACAGGGGGAUAACAGUUGGAAACGGCUGCUAAUACCGCAUAAGCGCACAGUACCGCAUGGUACGGUGUGAAAAACUCCGGUGGUAUGAGAUGGACCCGCGUCUGAUUAGGUAGUUGGUGGGGUAACGGCCUACCAAGCCGACGAUCAGUAGCCGACCUGAGAGGGUGACCGGCCACAUUGGGACUGAGACACGGCCCAAACUCCUACGGGAGGCAGCAGUGGGGAAUAUUGCACAAUGGGGGAAACCCUGAUGCAGCGACGCCGCGUGAGCGAUGAAGUAUUUCGGUAUGUAAAGCUCUAUCAGCAGGGAAGAAAAUGACGGUACCUGACUAAGAAGCCCCGGCUAACUACGUGCCAGCAGCCGCGGUAAUACGUAGGGGGCAAGCGUUAUCCGGAUUUACUGGGUGUAAAGGGAGCGUAGACGGCAUGGCAAGCCAGAUGUGAAAGCCCGGGGCUCAACCCCGGGACUGCAUUUGGAACUGUCAGGCUAGAGUGUCGGAGAGGAAAGCGGAAUUCCUAGUGUAGCGGUGAAAUGCGUAGAUAUUAGGAGGAACACCAGUGGCGAAGGCGGCUUUCUGGACGAUGACUGACGUUGAGGCUCGAAAGCGUGGGGAGCAAACAGGAUUAGAUACCCUGGUAGUCCACGCCGUAAACGA
rnacentral:rRNA from 1 species